rnacentral:ncRNA from 1 species
GAUAACUGGCUGAUGACUUCUAAGAGCUCUUAUUGAUGGAGUCAUUUGGCACAUUGAUGUUGACUCAUCACAUCCUAGGGUUGAAGAAGGUCCCAAAGGUUCAUGAGUUGGGUUUAUAAUGUCGUGAGAUAGUUCAGUUCCUAUCUACCAUUGGUGUGAAA